AUAGCUUUGGUCCUGGGCUUACCGUUGUUUUUCUUUAAAAUUAUACAUGCAAGCCUCAACACACCAGUGAGAAUGCCCACACCCCCUAAACAGACAAACCGGAGCAGACAUCAGGCACUGCCUCAAGCCCAAAACGUCUUGUCACCACCACUCCCCCACGGGUUACAGCAGUAAUUAACAUUUGGCAAUAAGUGAAAACUUGACCAAGCUAUAAAGAAAAGGGCCGGUUAAUUUCGUGCCAGCCACCGCGGUUAUACGAAAAGCCCAAAUCAACGAACCAACGGCGUAAAUUGUGACUAGAUAUUUUAUAUUAAAGAAGUAUUAAAACUCUUAUAUACAGUUGUAAAAUACUUGUACUAAGAGGAACAACAGCACAAAUACUCUAAUAUACAAGACAUUGAUCACACGAAAGCUUAGAAACAAACUAGGAUUAGAUACCCUACUAUGCUAAGCCCUUAACAUUGAUAGCUCAUACACCAUGCUAUCCGCCAGAGAACUACUAGUGAAAACUUAAAACUCAAAGGACUUGGCGGUGUCCCAUAUCGACCUAGAGGAGCCUGUCCUAUAAUCGAUACCCCCCGUUCCACCCGACCUUCACUCGCACAUUCAGCCUAUAUACCGCCGUCGACAGUCUACCCCAUGAGGGUCUUUUAGUAGACACAAUAACAACUUUUGCUAGUACGUCAGGUCAAGGUGUAGCAGAUGUCAAGGAAGCGAUUGGCUACAUUUUUUAUUUUUAAAACAAACGAAAUGCAACAUGAAACAUUGCACGAAGGUGAAUUUAGCAGUAAAUUGAACAAGAGAGUUCACUUUAACAUCGCUCUGGGACGCGCACACACCGCCCGUCACCCUCCUCAAAUUCUGUCUCAUCCAUAAAUAAUCAGUACAAGUUCAACCAAGAGGAGGUAAGUCGUAACAUGGUAAGCGUACCGGAAGGUGUGCUUGGACUA
rnacentral:ncRNA from 1 species